AUUGAACGCUGGCGGCAGGCCUAACACAUGCAAGUCGAGCGAGCGGCGGACGGGUGAGUAAUGUAUGGGGACUGCCCGAUAGAGGGGGAUAACUACUGGAAACGGUGGCUAAUACCGCAUACUAUCGGAUGACCCAUAUGUGAUUAGCUAGUAGGUGGGGUAAAGGCUCACCUAGGCGACGAUCUCUAGCUGGUCUGAGAGGAUGAUCAGCCCGACUGGGACGGAGACACGGCCCAGACCCCUACGGAGGCAGCAGUGGGGAAUAUUGCACAAGGGUGGCAAGCCUGAUGCAGCCAUGCCGCGUGUAUGAAGAAGGCCUUAGGGUUGUAAAGUACUUUCAGCGGAGAGGCGUUACCCGCAGAAGAAGCACCGGCUAACUCCGUGCCAGCAGCCGCGGUAAUUC
rnacentral:rRNA from 1 species